rnacentral:rRNA from 1 species
UGGGGAAUAUUGCACAAUGGGCGCAAGCCUGAUGCAGCGACGCCGCAUGAGGGAUGACGGCCUUCGGGUUGUAAACCUCUGUUAGCAGGGAAGAAGAGAGAUUGACGGUACCUGCAGAGAAAGCGCCGGCUAACUACGUGCCAGCAGCCGCGGUAAUACGUAGGGCGCGAGCGUUGUCCGGAAUUAUUGGGCGUAAAGAGCUUGUAGGCGGUUUGUCGCGUCUGCUGUGAAAGGCCGGGGCUUAACCCCGUGUAUUGCAGUGGGUACGGGCAGACUAGAGUGCAGUAGGGGAGACUGGAAUUCCUGGUGUAGCGGUGGAAUGCGCAGAUAUCAGGAGGAACACCGAUGGCGAAGGCAGGUCUCUGGGCUGUAACUGACGCUGAGAAGCGAAAGCAUGGGGAGCGAACAGGAUUAGAUACCCUGGUAGUCCAUGCCGUAAACGUUGGGCACUAGGUGUGGGGGACAUUCCACGUUUUCCGCGCCGUAGCUAACGCAUUAAGUGCCCCGCCUGGGGAGUACGGCCGCAAGGCUA